CUUGGUCAUUUAGAGGAAGUAAAAGUCGUAACAAGGUCUCCGUAGGUGAACCUGCGGAGGGAUCAUUAAGGAAUGGUCUUUUGACCUUCAACCCUUCAAACCUGUGGAAGCUAGAUGUGCUUCGGCGCCCCUGGGGCGCCGCUUUUAUGCCGGAAUCAGUUUGUGUCUGAAUCUGAAAUUAGAAUCAAAACUUUCAACAAAGGAUCUCUUGGCUCUCGCAUCGAUGAAGAACGCAGCGAAGCGCGAAAUGUAGUGUGAAUCGCAGAACAUUGUGAAUCAUCGAAUCUUUGAACGCACAUUGCGCCUCUCUUUACUGGGAGGCAUGCCUGUCUGAGCUUCAUUUAAACCAAUAAACCCCCUUUGGGUUUGUGUUGGGCCUCGCCGUUGGGCGUCGCCUCAAAGCCAUCUGUCUUGUGAGCGGACGAGAUCCAUUAGGACUGACCGUUCUUGGGACCAUAAAUCUCUGACUUGAACUCAGAUCAGGUAGGACUACCGCCUGAACUUAAGCAUAUCAAUAAGCGGAGGA
rnacentral:rRNA from 1 species